UCUCCGUUGGUGAACCAGCGGAGGGAUCAUUACAGAGUCGUAAAACACUCCCAAACCCAUGUGAACUUACCAUUGUUGCCUCGGCGGGCUUGCCUGCCGGUUGGACAUUAUCAAACCUUUUUGUAGUUGCAAUCAGCGUCAGAAACAAAACAAUAAUUACAACUUUCAACAACGGAUCUCUUGGUUCUGGCAUCGAUGAAGAACGCAGC
rnacentral:misc_RNA from 1 species